AAAAGAAACUAACAAGGAUUCCCCUAGUAACGGCGAGUGAAGCGGGAAGAGCUCAAAUUUGAAAUCUGGUAGCCUUCGGUUGCCCGAGUUGUAAUCUAGAGAAGUGUUUUCCGUGCCGGCCCAUGUACAAGUCCCUUGGAACAGGGCGUCAUAGAGGGUGAGAAUCCCGUCCUUGACAUGGACCCCCGGUGCUUUGUGAUACACUUUCAACGAGUCGAGUUGUUUGGGAAUGCAGCUCAAAAUGGGUGGUGAAUUCCAUCUAAAGCUAAAUAUUGGCGAGAGACCGAUAGCGAACAAGUACCGUGAGGGAAAGAUGAAAAGCACUUUGGAAAGAGAGUUAAACAGUACGUGAAAUUGUUGAAAGGGAAACGAUUGAAGUCAGUCAUGCUCUUGGGACUUACCUCCCUUGAGUGGGGUCAACAUCAGUUUUGAUCGAUGGAUAAAGGCACGGGGAAGGUAGCACUCUCGGGUGAACUUAUAGCCUCGCGUCAUAUACAUUGAUUGGGACUGAGGAACGCAGC
rnacentral:rRNA from 1 species